AUAUGAUUAUGGGUGCUAAUAUUAGGACCUCGGUCACCAAUACGAUUGUGGCAAUGGGACAAAUGGGUGACGGAGAUCAAUUGGAACGUGCGUUUGGU
rnacentral:ribozyme from 1 species